rnacentral:rRNA from 1 species
AGAGUUUGAUCAUGGCUCAGAACGAACGCUGGCGGCAGGCCUAACACAUGCAAGUCGAACGCCCCGCAAGGGGAGUGGCAGACGGGUGAGUAACGCGUGGGAACAUACCCUUCGGUUCGGAAUAGCUCAGGGAAACUUGGAUUAAUACCGGAUACGUCCGUAAGGAGAAAGAUUUAUCGCCGAAGGAUUGGCCCGCGUCUGAUUAGCUUGUUGGUGAGGUAAUGGCUCACCAAGGCGACGAUCAGUAGCUGGUCUGAGAGGAUGACCAGCCACAUUGGGACUGAGACACGGCCCAAACUCCUACGGGAGGCAGCAGUGGGGAAUAUUGGACAAUGGGCGAAAGCCUGAUCCAGCCAUGCCGCGUGAGUGAUGAAGGCCUUAGGGUUGUAAAGCUCUUUUACCAGGGAAGAUAAUGACGGUACCGGGAGAAUAAGCCCCGGCUAACUUCGUGCCAGCAGCCGCGGUAAUACGAAGGGGGCUAGCGUUGUUCGGAAUUACUGGGCGUAAAGCGCACGUAGGCGGAUAUUUAAGUCAGGGGUGAAAUCCCGAGGCUCAACCUCGGAACUGCCUUUGAUACUGGGAAUCUUGAGUCCGGGAGAGGUGAGUGGAACUGCGAGUGUAGAGGUGAAAUUCGUAGAUAUUCGCAAGAACACCAGUGGCGAAGGCGGCUCACUGGCCCGGUACUGACGCUGAGGUGCGAAAGCGUGGGGAGCAAACAGGAUUAGAUACCCUGGUAGUCCACGCCGUAAACGAUGGAUGCUAGCCGUUAGACAGCUUGCUGUUUAGUGGCGCAGUUAACGCUUUAAGCGUCCCGC